CCUAUGCAUACUUUUAACCUUCCUGGUUCUUGAUAUCUUUCAUUUAAUCCAUCUCUUAAAUCAGGUAAAAUAUAUAAAACAAAUGAUAUUCAAUUUGACUAUUGCUAUAAUACUUCACACAUCUAGUCAUACAAUACAAUAUUUACAAUAUUUUUAUUUUCCAAAUUAAAGGGCCCAUUUAAGAGCAAUGCAUAACAUUUUAAUUACAAACUUGUAUGAAUGACAUAAAUAACAAUUAAGGGGAGAUAAUUUUGAUAUCUAUUAUAAUUUUGAUAUCUAUUAGAGUAUUUAAGUUAACUAAUUUUCUGAUUCCUUAGUUGCAGGCCUUUAUCGAGGUAUGCACAUAAAAUAGAUAAAAAUCUGCUAUCUUCAUUCAUGAUCCAUGAAAAAAGAUCUUUCUAUUUAAAUUAUUAACUGGGGUAUUUUUUGAUAUGAAUCAGUCAUAUCUCUUCUGAGGUUAUUGUAAAGAGGGCAUUCCAGAAGAAAGUGCAUUUCAUUUUCAAUACAAUUUGAAUUACCUCUCAUGUCGAGGUAAUAUUUCAUUUUUACCACAUACAUUGGUAAUUCGUUCAUGUCUGCCAGUUUCUAUUCUUAACAGAGAUUUCUAAGUCUGUAUUUUGUUAACAAAUGUUUUUGUGGGUGCUUUAAAUCUAAAUAAUUUUCAUAGUGAAAUGACCUUUUGAAUGAAAAAUAAGUGUCAAUUUGCCUUGAUUCUGUAAAUAAAAAAUCGCAUACAGAGCUCAACCCCAGCUUGUUGUGGUUCUUGUUGCUCAAUGUGCACUGUUCAGUGAGUUUUCUACACAGGCACUUGUCUCAGAAAAAAAAUUCCUAUAUACCUUAAUAUAACACUUGUCUCAGAAUUUUUUUUUCCUAUAUACCUUAAUGUUAUAUUAAGGUAUAUAGGGACAUUUUUUUUCUGAGACAAGUGCCUGUGGUUUUCUAAGAACAUGAAGAAGCUGGAGUUUACUGUUGUCAUUUUGGCGAUUUGGUGUCGCGAUAUCUCAGUAGCACGAGUUCGAAUCCCGGCAAGGGAAGAACAAAAAAAGCAAGUUUACAGAUCUAACAUUGUUGGGCUGAUGUUUAGACGAAUUAUUUAUAUAAAAACAUAUAUACAGAAAUUCAUCCAGUUAAUAUGAUCAGCAAGAUAGAUAUUGUUUGCCAAUACAGUUUCCAUUUAGCACAAGUAUUCAUCUUUCCGUGAUUGUUUUGAAAAGCUAGAUAGCGAUACAGGCGCCUGGUAGUCUGAAGUUAUGUUUUGUCAUUUAGCAGACAAAAAUUCGGAUGACAAUUAAGAAGCAGGCAAUCAAUUGAAUCUUUUACUCUGAAAAAUAAAUACUAGGUGUUUCCUUUGUUUUACAUUUUAAUGUUGACAUUCUUUUUCUUUUCUUUUCAAUAAAUGAAUUACAUGGUAAACACAUGCACAACCGAUCUCCACGAAGGUCCAAAUUAGCAUGAAGUGUUGACUUGCAAUUCAAUUAUACAUCAGCGAUAUAUUUUAGCCUAUGUUGACUAAAUUGAACAAAACAGACUGCUAAUAGCGAAAUAUUAUUUCUUUACUCCACUUUCAAAAAUGUUUGAAAAAAAGAUCCGAUUGUUUUUAUUGUUAAGUUGGUAGCUUAAGCCCCUUUGAUAUUCAUUAUCGGUCGAUCUUUAAUUAUUAUGCGCCUUUGCCUUUUGUGUGAACAUGUUUGUGCUGACUAAAACCCAUCUUAUAGCAUAUUAAUCUAUUGUAAUAAAAAUUCAUAAUAUCUAAUAAAAUUUGUAGAUUUAGCUAACAAGGUCCUUAUAUUUGUAUAAAGUAACAUUUGUUUAUAGUGCAGAGGCGGAUUUAGGGGGGCAGGCCCCCCCCCCCCUUUUUGUGGGAAAAAAUUUGUUUGAUUAUAUAGGGAAUCACUGAAGCGUGACUGGAGCGGGCCCCCUUUUAGGUCAGUCAGUGGGCCCCCACUUAUGAAAAUUUCUGGAUCCGCCACUGUAGACCCCCCCCCCCCACUGUAGUGGAAAGUUAUUUUAACGUUAAAUAAGCUAAAAUUAAAAAUUGCUUGCUGGUCCUUCAUUGUGAUUACCUUUAGAUAAAUCUGUUUCACUUCCCAAUCAAUCUAUCAUGAAGGGAAGAUAAAUAAAUAAAUAUAAAUUUCAAUCAUAGUCUUUUUCAAAAAUGAUGAACGGUUCUUUAUAUUGGUAUGAUCUGGUAUGUAAUCUUUUUAAACGUAUCAUUUAUAAUCAUAUUCGUACAUCAAUGUUUUUGAUACACCAAUAACAAAAACUGAAAUAUAUUGAAUUGAUACAUUUUGUAACUAUUCAAAUUUAUAUCAGAAACCCAAACUUAAUUAUAAAAUAAUGAACAUGUUAAAGGGAGACAAUACUCGCAUAACUUUUUCGAAUUGGCACAUAUUAAAUAUAACGGAAUGUCACUCUUGCAUACAAAUGGCACAUCAAUAUAAUUAAUUAACUGUGCAAUCGCGCUCCACCUUCCAUGAUGAUUCUAAAUUAUAAAUAUAACCAAAAGUUGUUAAUCUAUAGAUAGUGAAGACUAAUGAAAUCUAACCCACUGUUAAAAUAUUUCUUUACAUUUUUUUAAAACUUCUUCAGUAAAAUGCUCGAGCCACUUGACUUUCAUUAUGAGUCAAACGCCAUUGUUUCACAGCUAGUAUUAUCAAUUUUAAAGGACCAGAUAUGAUAAUUGAGGAAACAAGAACUGUGAUAUAUAAAUCAACCACUUAAGCAAUGGAUGUGUAUACAUGUACAUAAAUGUACACAUCAAACAAACUGCAACUACAAUUUGACUAAUGGACAUUGUCUUAUUUUUAGAAGACCAAGACUUCAAUGGCAUCAUCGAGCACAGUUUCGUGUGGUAUUUGUGAGUCUCAGCACACGACAACAAAUGCUGACUACUGGUGUCCUGAAUGUGACGAAGGACUGUGCUCUCAAUGUCUGCAGUAUCACAAUGCAUCCAAAGCCUCACGUAACCAUGAUGUUAUAUCUGUCGACAACUAUAAACAAUUACCUCCCUCAAUAGCAAAAAUAUCACCAUACUGUUCACAGCAUGACAGAAAAUUUCAGAUGUAUUGUCCGCAACAUGAAAGUAUCGGUUGUCCACUGUGUAUUCAGUCCAACCAUGCUGAAUGUGUUGGGAUAUUGUCGCUGGAGAAUGUCAUACAAACGGCAAAGACUUCAGUCUUAUUGAAGAGUCUCGAUGAAAAUCUGAAAUAUAUCAAAAUAAAUGCCGAGAAAGUUGUAAAAGAUCGGAAACAAAAUCUUGAAGAAAUCCAGAAUCAAAGGCAGCAAAUUUGCGAUGAAAUAAAAAAGGUUCGUAAUAAAAUUAACGCGCACCUUGACGGGUUAGAACAACUAAUACAUCAGGAUCUAUAUUCUGCAGAAGAGAAAGUUAAAGCACA
rnacentral:lncRNA from 1 species